CCUCACAGUAACUCAUACAUAGAGCAUGUAACGGACCGUUUUGCCCACAAGAGGUUAAAAAACCAUUUAGGCGAUAUUCCCCUUUUUUCAGAUGCACAGACAGCUACUGCAAACACACGAAUACUGGAAACAGCCGAAUAGGAAAAACCAUGCAAAUAGGUUUACACUCCUAGCAGUCAAACUGGAACAGCAUACAAUAAAUCCUCCCCCAAUAAUGAGAU